UACGUAGGGCGCGAGCGUUGUCCGGAAUUAUUGGGCGUAAAGAGCUCGUAGGCGGCCUGUUGCGUCCGCUGUGAAAUCCCAGGGCUCAACCCUGGGCGUGCAGUGGAUACGGGCAGGCUAGAGUUCGGUAGGGGAGACUGGAAUUCCUGGUGUAGCGGUGAAAUGCGCAGAUAUCAGGAGGAACACCGGUGGCGAAGGUGGGUCUCUGGGCCGAUACUGACGCUGAGGAGCGAAAGCGUGGGGAGCGAACAGG
rnacentral:rRNA from 1 species